UACGUAGGUGGCGAGCGUUGUCCGGAAUUACUGGGUGUAAAGGGCGUGUAGGUGGGGAUGUAAGUCAGAUGUGAAAUUCCGGGGCUCAACUCCGGCGCUGCAUCUGAAACUAUAUCUCUUGAGUGCUGGAGAGGAAAGCGGAAUUCCUAGUGUAGCGGUGAAAUGCGUAGAUAUUAGGAGGAACACCAGUGGCGAAGGCGGCUUUCUGGACAGUAACUGACACUGAGGAGCGAAAGCGUGGGGAGCAAACAGG
rnacentral:rRNA from 1 species